rnacentral:tRNA from 1 species
GCGGUGAUAGCUCAGCUGGUAGAGCAAUUGCUUGUGGAGCAAUGGGUCGCAGGUUCGAGCCCUGCUCACCGUACCA